GUCCAGGCCUCCUGGUCCCACUGGAAACACAGCUGAAAGUAGGCACAAUCGCCAGCCAUGCAGUGUCUCCCGACAUGGCGACAGUCAUUAUAAAAGAUGAACAGCAAUGUCCUUCAACAUGUCGGCAACCGACUGUCUGCGCCCCAUCGUGCUCAAUACGAUGCUGCUCGGCUCCUCAAACGCCACCCUGUCCCAGUCCUUGCUCUAGCGGAUGCGCUCCUAGCUGUACCACAUCGUGCUGUGCUUUGACGAAGCGAAGUAUCCUCGCUCUCAAAAACUGAGUCGAUAUUAAACAUACAUUUCGUAGCCUACGUUAAUUUGAUAUUAAAAAUUUGGUUAUGGUAA